UCGUAGGCGGCCAUUCAAGUCAGGCGUGAAAGCCCCGGGCUUAACCUGGGAGGUGCGUCUGGGACUGGGUGGCUAGAGUUCGGGAGAGGAGAGUGGAAUUCCCAGUGUAGAGGUGAAAUUCGUAGAUAUUGGGAAGAACACCGGUGGCGAAGGCGGCUCUCUGGACCGAGACUGACGCUGAGGCGCGAAAGCGUGGGGAGCAAACAGGAUUAGAUACCCUGGUAGUCCCAGCCGUAAACGAUGGGUGCUAGGUGUGGGAGGCUAUCGACGUCUUCCGUGCCGCAGCUAACGCAUUAAGCA
rnacentral:rRNA from 1 species